rnacentral:rRNA from 1 species
UACGGAGGGUGCAAGCGUUGCUCGGAAUUAUUUGGGCGUAAAGCGCGCGCAGGCGGUUCCUUUAAGUCUGAUGUGAAAGCCCACGGCUCAACCGUGGAGGGUCAUUGGAAACUGGGGGACUUGAGUACAGAAGAGAAGAGUGGAAUUGCCACGUGUAGCGGUGAAAUGCGUAGAAGAUGUGGAGGAACACCAGUGGCGAAGGCGAACUCUUUGGUCUGAUAACUGACGCUGGAGGCGCGAAAGCGUGGGGAGCAAACAGGAAUUGAGAGUACCCGGUGUAAGUCCGAG